rnacentral:rRNA from 1 species
GAUCAUGGCUCAGGAUGAACGCUGGCGGCGUGCUUAACACAUGCAAGUCGAACGAAGCACUUUAUUACAAUUUCUUCGGAAUGACGAUUUAGUGACUGAGUGGCGGACGGGUGAGUAACGCGUGGGUAACCUGCCUUAUACAGGGGGAGUAACAGUUAGAAAUGACUGCUAAUACCGCAUAAGCGCACAGGAUUGCAUGAUCUGGUGUGAAAACUACCGGUGGUAUAAGAUGACCG